rnacentral:rRNA from 1 species
UACGUAGGGGGCAAGCGUUGUCCGGAAUCAUUGGGCGUAAAGAGCGUGUAGGCGGCCCGAUAAGUCCGCCGUGAAAGUCCAGGGCUCAACCCUGGAAUGCCGGUGGAAACUGUCGGGCUGGAGUCCGGAAGAGGCGAAUGGAAUUCCUGGUGUAGCGGUGAAAUGCGCAGAUAUCAGGAGGAACACCAAUGGCGAAGGCAGCUCGCUGGGACGGUACUGACGCUGAGACGCGAAAGCGUGGGGAGCGAUCCGG